GCCUGCCCUCGAGGGAGCACCUCGGCUUGUGGCUUCCAGGUACUGUUCUCGGUUGCAGGUUUUCAAAAGACAAAGCACCGCUCACAAUAGGCAAAACUUGGAAUCAACAGAGGUGUUCAUCAUUAGAUGAACAGAUAAAGAAACUGUAUAUACACAGUGAAAUAUUAUUUAGCUAUAAAAAUGUAAUUCUACCAUUUGCAGAAAAUGAACAUACCUGGAGGGAAUCAAGCUGAAUGAAAAAAGCUGGUCCAUGAAAGACAAAUACUGCAUGUUCUCUUUCAUGUGGGAGCUAAGAUUUAAAACGAGAGAAAAAAAUGUCUGAAAUGUCUGUCUGUAUCAAUAUUGCAACAAAUACAGUUUUGUAAAACUUUCUUUUACCUUUGUCAAACCAAUGGUUAAGAAUGUUAUACCACUAUAGUUUAAAUGAUAUGUGAUUAAUAUUUAAUGUAUAUAGUUGAAAUGGUCACAUUUCCUUUCAAUUAUUGUUUAUAGUUGUUGUCUGUAUUCUCACUAUACUAGGGUCUUUAUGCUUUUUUGUUAAACUUCCUUUUCCAUGAAAUAGUAACCAUUUUUACUAUAAUGUAAAUUUAAAAUAUGUUUGAGCCUACUGCCCAGAGUGACAGCCUUCCCACAACUUCCUGCCUGUAAGUGACUGAUCCAAGAUCCGUCUCUGCUGAGACAUGGAGCUCUGGACCUUGAACACUGACACUCGUUUUUGUGACCGUGAUACGAGCCUUGAAAAGGCAGCUUUUACAAAUAGUGUUAGUCAUGUGUAAUAUUAUAUAACUAUGCUUUGACCCUAUGUUUUGAUCCUAUGCAAGGUAUCUGUAAAUAGUGCUGGAGACCUUGAUGUACAUAUACUAUUAGAAUUGGAUAGCUCUUAAAAUUACUUUAACACUGUAUACUGUGAUCUAUGGAUUAAUGAAUAAGUUCAAGUAGUAUUGUUGAUAUUGAGUCCUCUAGUCAUUAAGGAAAUAGUGUUACUCUGAUAGUUAAGUAUUAUAGUAAGUUAAGUAGAUAAGUAGUUACGUUAAGCUAAGUGAAACAGUGUUACUCUGUUAAGUAUUAUAGUAAGUAAGUUAAGUAGAUAAGUAGUUACGUUAAGCUAAGUGAUUCAGUAAGUGUGUUAAGUUAGCUAUAAGUUAUAAGUGAUAUUAUUGGCAUUAUUGAUAGUGAUGUUAGUGAUACUGAUGUGUAUUAAGUAACUAUGUUAAGUUAGGUGAUUAAGCUAAGUAGUUCAGCUAAGUAGUUGCGUUAACCUAAGUAGCUAAGUAGUUAAGUCAUGAUUAAGUAGUGAUGUUAAAUUUAUUGAUAAGUGUAUUAAAUAGUAUAGAUUGAUAAGUAUAUUGGUACUGAUAAGUGUAUUGACCUCAGUGAGCAUGCUGAUGAGUAGUAUGAUAAAAAAAAAUGCCUGGUGUGUAAGCAAUAAAAUCUCUCAUUGGAAAGACA
rnacentral:lncRNA from 1 species